rnacentral:tRNA from 1 species
UCUCUCGUGGUUCAACGGAAGAACACCCUCUUGUAACGAGAGGGAGAUCUGGGAUCAAGCCCCAGCGAGAGAG